AAUGUAUAUAAAUUUUGUUGAUAUAAUUUAAUUUUGUGGUUAGUUUCAAGAAGGAAACAACAUAAUUGAAAAAAAAACUCAGCAAUGGGAAUUGAUCAACGUAUCGAAAGAUCAAGACAACUGGUUACCCAGUAACGGAUUCUAGAGAAACCAAAUGGUGGUAUUCGGUUUUUUAUAUGUCUUAUCGAUUGAUCAUGUCAAUCCCGGUAAACAUGUAUUUAGUGCUAUAAAGUGACUUCUUAAUUCUGAAAGGCUACCACACUGAUUACAUCUGAGGGGAUUGUCGAAUCACCUUUAACCAUACUACAAAGUAAACUAAUUGGACCAAAAUCUAAGUUGAAACUUCCCAAACUGAUAUUUGUUUAAACGGAGACUCGAAUCACCUUUAGCACAUUUCCAGGUUUUGGCAAAACUGUUUUGUUUAUCAAUUGACCAUAGUCAUACAAGCAAUGGUGGUAUUCUGCCUUCCUCGACUAUGGCCAUUGUGAAAGCUUCUGCUCUUGGUUUUCCCUUCGCCAUUUCACAACUUAGAUGGGGCAAUGCUUUCAUCAUGGGUGAUGACAUUUUACACAUUGUGGCAACUUGUGUAGAUCCAUGAGGCCGUGCUGGAAAGACAGUUUAAACGUUACUGGAGCUUGGUGUGUACGGAUUUGGCCAAACCUAGGUUGUUGGUUGGUAGUGCCAGAAAAUAUAUUAUGUACUUGUAAUGCUAAUUUUAGAUAGAUUUUGUAGCGAGUGAUCUCUUAUAAGAACAUCCCAAUCCCUAUGAUUUCUCUUAAUAUUAAUAUUUCCAUAUUUUCUUAA